AACGAACGCUGGCGGCAGACUUAACACAUGCAAGUCGAGCGCAUCCUUCGGGGUGAGCGGCAGACGGGUGAGUAACGCGUGGGAACGUACCCUUUCCUACGGAAUAGCUCCGGGAAACUGGAAUUAAUACCGUAUACGCCCUUAGGGGGAAAGAUUUAUCGGGGAAGGAUCGGCCCGCGUUGGAUUAGCUAGUUGGUGGGGUAAAGGCCUACCAAGGCGACGAUCCAUAGCUGGUCUGAGAGGAUGAUCAGCCACAUUGGGACUGAGACACGGCCCAAACUCCUACGGGAGGCAUCAGUGGGGAAUAUUGGACAAUGGGCGCAAGCCUGAUCCAGCCAUGCCGCGUGAGUGAUUUAGGCCUUAGGGUUGUAAAGCUCUUUCAGUAGGGAAGAUAAUGACGGUACCUACAGAAGAAGCCCCGGCUAACUUCGUGCCAGCCGCCGCAGUAA
rnacentral:rRNA from 1 species